GGGGUAUUGGUGAAGUGGUCAAACACAUCCGACUUUCUAUCGGAGAUACGAGGGUUCGAAUCCCUUAUACCCUUUAU
rnacentral:tRNA from 1 species